rnacentral:sRNA from 1 species
CUUCCCAUGGGAACAAAUUUUCUUCCCAUGGGAACAAUUUUUCUUCCCAUGGGAAACAAUUUUCUUCCCAUGGGAACAAAUCUUCUUCCCAUGGGAACAAUUUUUCUUCCCAUGGGAACAA